rnacentral:rRNA from 1 species
AUUGAACGCUGGCGGCAGGCCUAACACAUGCAAGUCGAACGGUAACAGGAAGCAGCUUGCUGCUUCGCUGACGAGUGGCGGACGGGUGAGUAAUGUCUGGGAAACUGCCUGAUGGAGGGGGAUAACUACUGGAAACGGUAGCUAAUACCGCAUAACGUCGCAAGACCAAAGAGGGGGACCUUAGGGCCUCUUGCCAUCGGAUGUGCCCAGAUGGGAUUAGCUAGUAGGUGGGGUAACGGCUCACCUAGGCGACGAUCCCUAGCUGGUCUGAGAGGAUGACCAGCCACACUGGAACUGAGACACGGUCCAGACUCCUACGGGAGGCAGCAGUGGGGAAUAUUGCACAACGGGCGCAAGCCUGAUGCAGCCAUGCCGCGUGUAUGAAGAAGGCCUUCGGGUUGUAAAGUACUUUCAGCGGGGAGGAAGGGAGUAAAGUUAAUACCUUUGCUCAUUGACGUUACCCGCAGAAGAAGCACCGGCUAACUCCGUG